CGUUAUACCCAAAGGUGUUUAGGGUUUGUUGGCUUCUUCUUCCAGGAGCGACUUCUUCGAUGUAACACGCGAAACCAAACCUUCGCUCCGAUCUCCAUGAGUGUGAGCUAAUCUAAAUGCCACAAUAGGCACCUAAUAUGAAGUUUUCAGCGGUUAAUUGUUAUACAUCUUUGUGGUCUCGUCGUUCUCCUCCGUGCCUUCAUUUGAAAUAGAUUCCAUUUCGUUUGUUAUGUGUUUUGUUUACUUAUAAGAUCUACCCUUUGAUGCUUUUGUGAAUAUUCCACAGACAAUCUCAUGAUCAAUAAUGGCAAUGUAGAGCCUUUUCUCCUGAACGAAGAACCUGCCAUAAAAUCAGGUGACUGGAGAACUCAACUGCCACAGGGUUCACGGCAGAACAUCGUCAACAAGAUAAUGGAUACACUAAAGAAGCACUUUCCGUAUUCUGAAGUUCGAGGAAAAUUGCUGCCAGGUUCGAGGAGAAAAUUUUCAGCAGUGCUGUUCACCAGACUGAUUCCCUCCGGAAAAUAUCGAUGAAGAUCCUGACUAUGGAGACUAAAGCUCAAAAUGCAGCUGGUUCCGAUUCUUCUAUCCUUGCUGAUAGUAACAACCUAACCUUGGAUGAAAUUAUGAAUCAUUUGAUCAAGGACAAUGCAGAGCCUUCUCUCCUGAACGUGGAACCUGCCAUAAACUCAGUUGACUGGAGAAUUCAACUGCCACCUGAUUCACGCCAGAAGAAUAUCAACAAGCUAAUGGAAACGCUGAAGAAACAUGUUCCGUAUUCAUGGCAGGAAGGAAUUGAGGAGCUCGAGAGAAUUGCUAUCAGCUUCGAGGAGUUAAUAUUCAACACUGCUUUAAACCAGGCAUGGUUUGUUUCGAGUUUCAGGUGGAUUACUUUUGCAAAAUAUCCUUAAAGAUGCAGACUAUGGAAGAGGACGAUUAUUUUUUGGUGUUUUAUUAUAUGAUGAUAUGUCGUUUAGAGUUAACAUGCAUACAUAUCUAAAGUUAUAUAACUCAUAUUAAUUUAUGUUAUACUCGCUUGGUAAUAUCUAGAUGAGACGCUAUUUUGAACUAUCAUAAGUUUUGUGUUCGAGUAAACUACAAAUCAACUUAUCUGUUAUUAUCUUAUUUUUUGUAAUCCGAAGCUUUGUGGAUUCUAAUCGUUAAAUGCUAGGGAAAAUGAUUCGGUUUAUUGUAUUGCAUUUCAUAAGUUUUGUGAAAGAUAUUGCUUCAUUCACGCGUCUCCCAUGCAAUGAAACCAAUGCCGUGGCUGAACUCCGGUACCGUGUGAUACUCUCUGCUUCUGAUGGCACUGGCACAGCGGCUUUCCUUGGGUUUGACAGAAUUCGCUAAACUGACUCAUGUUCUAGCUUCUGAGGCUGCACAAAUUGUGGGUGUAGGUGCUACUGCUCAGGUCGAUGUUGAUCUGCCUCGCCCACUCGCUGAUAUUGUGGGAAUACCUAUACUUUCCAGCUCAAGUUGAAGGACUUCAAUUUUAAUGCAAGCCACCAAACUUUUACCAUUUCUCGCAUAUUCCCUGUGCAGGAGCUUGCGCCCAUUCCAACCUUAGAGGAAGGUGCAGAUGUUACCGAGCCAGCGCUUCUUCAGAAUGUUGCAGCAAGACCAGAAGGUAUAGCUGCAAUCACGUCCAGCGUUGCAGCGCCUUCCCCCGAGGCUGAUGGUACUUUUUCCCAGCGUGAGGAAGUAGCUGCGGAAGAAGCUGAUCUGGCAGGGAAUGCCAGUAAGAAAGCACGUGUGGAAUGAGUGAAGCACUGGCGCCCAAACAACCACGAUUAGUCUAAAUAGUUUUCUGUUUCAUGCAUCUUUCACCUAUGCUAUGUUGUUUUUUUUAAUUUUCCCCUAAAAACCUAUUAGAUCGUGGUGGUUGUUAUUUCUAUUAUCAAUGCAAAACCUUUCUUUAUGCUUA